UACAGAGGGUGCGAGCGUUGUUCGGAUUCACUGGGCGUAAAGGGUGCGUAGGUGGUGGGGUAAGUCGGAUGUGAAAGCUCGGAGCUCAACUCCGAAAUGGCAUUGGAAACUACCCUGCUAGAGGAUUGGAGGGGGGACUGGAAUACUUGGUGUAGCAGUGAAAUGCGUAGAUAUCAAGUGGAACACCAGUGGCGAAGGCGAGUCCCUGGACAAUACCUGACACUGAGGCACGAAAGCUAGGGGAGCAAACAGG
rnacentral:rRNA from 1 species